rnacentral:rRNA from 1 species
AGAGUUUGAUCCUGGCUCAGAACGAACGUUGGCGGCGUGGAUUAGGCAUGCAAGUCGAACGAGGGCAGUCCGUGCAGCAAUACAUGGGCUGAACCGAGUGGCGUAAGGGGCAGUAAUGCGUGGGUAACCUACCCUGGGGACCGGGAUAGCCGGCCUAACGGCCGGGUAAUACCGGGCGAUCUAAACGAGGCGCCUGUCUUGUUUAGCAAAUGAAUUUCGCCCUGGGAGGGGCUCACGUGGUAUUAGCUUGUUGGUGAGGUAACGGCUCACCAAGGCAAAGAUGCCUAGCGGGUGUGAGAGCACGACCCGCGCCACUGGCACUGAGACACUGGCCAGACUCCUACGGGAGGCUGCAGUCGAGGAUCUUCGGCAAUGAGCGCAAGCUUGACCGAGCGACGCCGCGUGCGCGAUGAAGGCCUUCGGGUUGUAAAGCGCUGUCGAGGGGAAGAAAAGCCCGCAAGGGUUUGAUCGACCCCUGGAGGAAGCACGGGCUAAGUUCGUGCCAGCAGCCGCGGUAAGACGAACCGUGCGAACGUUGUUCGGAUUCACUGGGCUUAAAGGGCGCGUAGGCGGC